rnacentral:rRNA from 1 species
GAUCCUGGCUCAGGAUUAACGCUGGCGGCAUGCCUAAUACAUGCAAGUCGAAUGGGGAGCUUGCUUCCCAUGGCGAACGGGUGAGUAAUACGUAGGUAACCUACCUUUAGGACGAGGAUAACCUUUGGAAACGAAGGAUAAUACUGGAUAGUAUAGAUUUCCGCAUGGAGAUAUAUUUAAAGAUUUAUCACCUAGAGAGGGGCCUGCGGUGCAUUAGCUAGUUGGCGGGAUAAAGCCCACCAAGGCGAUGAUGCAUAGCCGGACUGAGAGGUUGUACGGCCACAAUGGAACUGAGAACGGUCCAUACUCCUACGGGAGGCAGCAGUAGGGAAUUUUCGGCAAUGGGCGGAAGCCUGACCGAGCAAAUGCCGCGUGAAUGAUGAAGUAUUUCGGUAUGUAAAGUUCUUUUAUCUAGGAAGAAAAAACAAAUUGACGGUACUAGAUGAAUAAGCUCCGGCUAACUACGUGCCAGCCGCUGC